rnacentral:lncRNA from 1 species
GUCAACAAAUGGAAAUCUUCCUUAGGGGCGGGCAAGACUCAAGCCAAACUUGAAUGAUUCAACAGGAUCACUUUGUAUCUCUCGGUAGGAUGUUUAUUUUGCUAUGUCGACUUAUGCUUGCACUACUCAUACAAACUCUUUUGGCCAUGGGCACAUUAUGUUUUUUAGAUAAUGGAAAAUGCCAGCUUCAGCUUUCUUCUAAGAAGAAGAAGCAUCAGUCCA